CAUGUCUAAGUUUAAGCAAUCUAUACGGUGAAACUGCGAAUGGCUCAUUAAAUCAGUUAUCGUUUAUUUGAUAGUACCUUACUACAUGGAUAACCGUGGUAAUUCUAGAGCUAAUACAUGCUAAAAACCUCGACUUCGGAAGGGGUGUAUUUAUUAGAUAAAAAACCAAUGCCCUUCGGGGCUCCUUGGUGAUUCAUAAUAACUCAACGAAUCGCAUGGCCUUGCGCCGGCGAUGGUUCAUUCAAAUUUCUGCCCUAUCAACUUUCGAUGGUAGGAUAGUGGCCUACCAUGGUUUUAACGGGUAACGGGGAAUUAGGGUUCUAUUCCGGAGAGGGAGCCUGAGAAACGGCUACCACAUCCAAGGAAGGCAGCAGGCGCGCAAAUUACCCAAUCCCAACACGGGGAGGUAGUGACAAUAAAUACUGAUGUGGAGCUCUUUAGGGUUUCACAAUUGGAAUGAGUACAAUUUAAAUCCCUUAACGAGGAACAAUUGGAGGGCAAGUCUGGUGCCAGCAGCCGCGGUAAUUCCAGCUCCAAUAGCGUAUAUUAAAGUUGUUGCAGUUAAAAAGCUCGUAGUUGAACCUUGGGCCUGGCUGACCGGUCCGCCUCACCGCGAGCACUGGUUCGGCCGGGCCUUUCCUUCUGGGGAGCCGCAUGCCCUUCACUGGGUGUGUCGGGGAACCAGGACUUUUACUUUGAAAAAAUUAGAGUGUUCAAAGCAGGCCUAUGCUCGAAUACAUUAGCAUGGAAUAAUAGAAUAGGACGUGCGGUUCUAUUUUGUUGGUUUCUAGGACCGCCGUAAUGAUUAAUAGGGAUAGUCGGGGGCAUCAGUAUUCAAUUGUCAGAGGUGAAAUUCUUGGAUUUAUUGAAGACUAACUACUGCGAAAGCAUUUGCCAAGGAUGUUUUCAUUAAUCAGUGAACGAAAGUUAGGGGAUCGAAGACAAUCAGAUACCGUCGUAGUCUUAACCUUAAACUAUGCCGACUAGGGAUCGGACGGUGUUAUCAUUUUGACCCGUUCGGCCCCUUACGAGAAAUCACACCACCAGGCGUGGAGCCUGCGGCUUAAUUUGACUCAACACGGGGAAACUCACCAGGUCCANNCCUCAAAUGGAUUVACGGAUUGRRAACGAUUUGUCUGCUUAAUUGCGAUAACGAANGAGACCUUAACCUGCUAAAUAGCCAGGCCAGCUUUGGCUGGUCGCCGGUUUUUAGAGGGACUAUCGGCUCAAGCCGAUGGAAGUUUGAGGCAAUAACAGGUCUGUGAUGCCCUUAGAUGUUUUGGGCCGCACGCGCGGUACACUGACAGAGCCAACGAGUAAAUCACCUUGGCCGGAAGGUUUGGGUAAUCUUGUUAAACUCUGUCGUGCUGGGGAUAGAGCAUUGCAAUUAUUGCUCUUCAACGAGGAAUGCCUAGUAAGCGCAAGUCAUCAGCUUGCGUUGAUUAAGUCCCUGCCCUUWGUACACACCGCCCGUCGGUAAUACCGAUUGAAUGGUUCAGCGAGGCCUUCGGAAUGGCUCNGAGAGGUCGGCAACGAACACUCAGAGCCGGAAAGGUCGUCAGACUUGUCAUNNAGAGAAG
rnacentral:rRNA from 1 species